UAAGGGCGCACGGUGGAUGCCUUGGCACUAGAAGCCGAUGAAGGACGUUACUAACGACGAUAUGCUUUGGGGAGCUGUAAGUAAGCUUUGAUCCAGAGAUUUCCGAAUGGGGAAACCCAGCAUGAGUUAUGUCAUGUUAUCGAUAUGUGAAUACAUAGCAUAUCAGAAGGCACACCCGGAGAACUGAAACAUCUUAGUACCCGGAGGAAGAGAAAGAAAAUUCGAUUCCCUUAGUAGCGGCGAGCGAAACGGGAAGAGCCCAAACCAACAAGCUUGCUUGUUGGGGUUGUAGGACACUCUAUACGGAGUUACAAAGGACGACAUUAGACGAAUCAUCUGGAAAGAUGAAUCAAAGAAGGUAAUAAUCCUGUAGUCGAAAAUGUUGUCUCUCUUGAGUGGAUCCUGAGUACGACGGAGCACGUGAAAUUCCGUCGGAAUCUGGGAGGACCAUCUCCUAAGGCUAAAUACUCUCUAGUGACCGAUAGUGAACCAGUACCGUGAGGGAAAGGUGAAAAGCACCCCGGAAGGGGAGUGAAAUAGAACCUGAAACCGUGUGCUUACAAGUAGUCAGAGCCCGUUAAUGGGUGAUGGCGUGCCUUUUGUAGAAUGAACCGGCGAGUUACGAUUUGAUGCAAGGUUAAGCAGUAAAUGUGGAGCCGUAGCGAAAGCGAGUCUGAAUAGGGCGUUUAGUAUUUGGUCGUAGACCCGAAACCAGGUGAUCUACCCUUGGUCAGGUUGAAGUUCAGGUAACACUGAAUGGAGGACCGAACCGACUUACGUUGAAAAGUGAGCGGAUGAACUGAGGGUAGCGGAGAAAUUCCAAUCGAACCUGGAGAUAGCUGGUUCUCUCCGAAAUAGCUUUAGGGCUAGCCUCAAGUGAUGAUUAUUGGAGGUAGAGCACUGUUUGGACGAGGGGCCCCUCUCGGGUUACCGAAUUCAGACAAACUCCGAAUGCCAAUUAAUUUAACUUGGGAGUCAGAACAUGGGUGAUAAGGUCCGUGUUCGAAAGGGAAACAGCCCAGACCACCAGCUAAGGUCCCAAAAUAUAUGUUAAGUGGAAAAGGAUGUGGCGUUGCCCAGACAACUAGGAUGUUGGCUUAGAAGCAGCCAUCAUUUAAAGAGUGCGUAAUAGCUCACUAGUCGAGUGACACUGCGCCGAAAAUGUACCGGGGCUAAACAUAUUACCGAAGCUGUGGAUUGUCCUUUGGACAAUGGUAGGAGAGCGUUCUAAGGGCGUUGAAGCAUGAUCGUAAGGACAUGUGGAGCGCUUAGAAGUGAGAAUGCCGGUGUGAGUAGCGAAAGACGGGUGAGAAUCCCGUCCACCGAUUGACUAAGGUUUCCAGAGGAAGGCUCGUCCGCUCUGGGUUAGUCGGGUCCUAAGCUGAGGCCGACAGGCGUAGGCGAUGGAUAACAGGUUGAUAUUCCUGUACCACCUAUAAUCGUUUUAAUCGAUGGGGGGACGCAGUAGGAUAGGCGAAGCGUGCGAUUGGAUUGCACGUCUAAGCAGUAAGGCUGAGUAUUAGGCAAAUCCGGUACUCGUUAAGGCUGAGCUGUGAUGGGGAGAAGACAUUGAGUCUUCGAGUCGUUGAUUUCACACUGCCGAGAAAAGCCUCUAGAUAGAAAAUAGGUGCCCGUACCGCAAACCGACACAGGUAGUCAAGAUGAGAAUUCUAAGGUGAGCGAGCGAACUCUCGUUAAGGAACUCGGCAAAAUGACCCCGUAACUUCGGGAGAAGGGGUGCUCUUUAGGGUUAACGCCCAGAAGAGCCGCAGUGAAUAGGCCCAAGCGACUGUUUAUCAAAAACACAGGUCUCUGCUAAACCGUAAGGUGAUGUAUAGGGGCUGACGCCUGCCCGGUGCUGGAAGGUUAAGAGGAGUGGUUAGCUUCUGCGAAGCUACGAAUCGAAGCCCCAGUAAACGGCGGCCGUAACUAUAACGGUCCUAAGGUAGCGAAAUUCCUUGUCGGGUAAGUUCCGACCCGCACGAAAGGCGUAACGAUUUGGGCACUGUCUCAACGAGAGACUCGGUGAAAUCAUAGUACCUGUGAAGAUGCAGGUUACCCGCGACAGGACGGAAAGACCCCGUGGAGCUUUACUGUAGCCUGAUAUUGAAAUUCGGCACAGCUUGUACAGGAUAGGUAGGAGCCUUUGAAACGUGAGCGCUAGCUUACGUGGAGGCGCUGGUGGGAUACUACCCUAGCUGUGUUGGCUUUCUAACCCGCACCACUUAUCGUGGUGGGAGACAGUGUCAGGCGGGCAGUUUGACUGGGGCGGUCGCCUCCUAAAAGGUAACGGAGGCGCUCAAAGGUUCCCUCAGAAUGGUUGGAAAUCAUUCAUAGAGUGUAAAGGCAUAAGGGAGCUUGACUGCGAGACCUACAAGUCGAGCAGGGUCGAAAGACGGACUUAGUGAUCCGGUGGUUCCGCAUGGAAGGGCCAUCGCUCAACGGAUAAAAGCUACCCCGGGGAUAACAGGCUUAUCUCCCCCAAGAGUUCACAUCGACGGGGAGGUUUGGCACCUCGAUGUCGGCUCAUCGCAUCCUGGGGCUGUAGUCGGUCCCAAGGGUUGGGCUGUUCGCCCAUUAAAGCGGUACGCGAGCUGGGUUCAGAACGUCGUGAGACAGUUCGGUCCCUAUCCGUCGUGGGCGUAGGAAAUUUGAGAGGAGCUGUCCUUAGUACGAGAGGACCGGGAUGGACAUACCUCUGGUGUACCAGUUGUCGUGCCAAC
rnacentral:rRNA from 1 species